rnacentral:rRNA from 1 species
GACGAAGGAUGCAAGCGUUAUCCGGAUUCAUUGGGUUUAAAGGGUCCGUAGGCGGUUUAGUAAGUCAGUGGUGAAAGCCCCAUCGCUCAACGGUGGAACGGCCAUUGAUACUGCUAGACUUGAAUUAUUAGGAAGUAACUAGAAUAUGUAGUGUAGCGGUGAAAUGCUUAGAGAUUACAUGGAAUACCAAUUGCGAAGGCAGGUUACUACUAAUGGAUUGACGCUGAUGGACGAAAGCGUGGGUAGCGAACAGG